rnacentral:rRNA from 1 species
ACAAGCGGAGGAGCAUGUGGUUUAAUUCGAUGAUACGCGAGGAACCUUACCUGGGCUCGAACGUAAGAUGACUGUAGGUGAAAGCUUACAUCUCUUCGGAGCAUUUUACAAGGUGCUGCAUGGUUGUCGUCAGCUCGUGCCGUGAGGUGUCGGGUUAAGUCCCAUAACGAGCGCAACCCCUAUCAUUAGUUGCCAUCAGGUCAAGCUGGGGACUCUAAUGAAACUGCCUACGCAAGUAGUGAGGAAGGUGGGGAUGACGUCAAAUCAGCACGGCCCUUACGUCCAGGGCUACACACGUGCUACAAUGGUCGGUACAAAGGGUUGCCAAGCCGCGAGGUGGAGCUAAUCCCAUAAAACCGAUCGUAGUCCGGAUCGCAGUCUGCAACUCGACUGCGUGAAGUCGGAAUCGCUAGUAAUCGUGAAUCAGAAUGUCACGGUGAAUACGUUCCCGGGCCUU